rnacentral:rRNA from 1 species
UCGGCGGGAGCAACAGCUGCCGUCGGGCGGUAGAGGUAACACUUUCACGCGCCGCAUGUCUGAAUCCUUUUUUUACGAGCACCUUUCGUUCUCCUUCGGCGGGGCAACCUGCCGUUGGAACCUAUCAAAACCUUUUUUUUGCAUCUAGCAUUACCUGUUCUGAUACAAACAAUCGUUACAACUUUCAACAAUGGAUCUCUUGGCUCUGGCAUCGAUGAAGAACGCAGCGAAAUGCGAUAAGUAGUGUGAAUUGCAGAAUUCAGUGAAUCAUCGAAUCUUUGAACGCACAUUGCGCCCCUUGGUAUUCCAUGGGGCAUGCCUGUUCGAGCGUCAUCUACACCCUCAAGCUCUGCUUGGUGUUGGGCGUCUGUCCCGCCUCUGCGCGCGGACUCGCCCCAAAUUCAUUGGCAGCGGUCCUUGCCUCCUCUCGCGCAGCACAUUGCGCUUCUCGAGGGGCGCGGCCCGCGUCCACGAAGCAACAUUACCGUCUUUGACCUCGGAUCAGGUAGGGAUACCCGCUGAACUUAAGC